rnacentral:rRNA from 1 species
GUCCUGGCCUUAAACGAUGGAUGCUUGGUGUCUGGAGUUUUAUAGUCUCCUGGUGCCGUAGCUAACGCGUUAAGCAUCCCGCCUGGGGAGUACGGUCGCAAGACUGAAACUCAAAGGAAUUGACGGGGACCCGCACAAGCGGUGGAGCAUGUGGUUCAAUUCGACGCAACGCGAAGAACCUUACCUGGGCUAGAAUGCCUCUGACAACUCCAGAGAUGGAGCCUCUUAGGGAAACCUAGGCAGAGUGCAAGGUGCUGCAUGGCUGUCGU